rnacentral:rRNA from 1 species
UUAUAUAUUUAAGGUCUGACCUGCCCAAUGAUUAAUUUAAUGGCCGCAGUAUUUUGACUGUGCAAAGGUAGCAUAAUCAUUAGUUUUUUGAUUGAGAACUUGUAUGAAUGGUUGAAUGAGAAAUAGGCUGUCUCUAAUUAAUUUUUUAGAAUUUUAUUUUUAAGUUAAAAAGCUUAAAUUUUUAUUAAAGACGAGAAGACCCUAUAGAGUUUUAUAUUAUUGUGAUUAAAAAAUUUUAGGAAUCAAGAUUUUUAAAUUAUAAUAUUAUUUAGUUGGGGUGACAGAAAAAUUAAAUAAACUUUUUUUUGCUUUGUACAUUAAUAAGUGGUUAUUUUGAUCCAAAUUUUUUGAUUAUAAGAUUAAAUUACCUUAGGGAUAACAGCGUAAUUCUUUUGAAGAGUUCUAAUUUAUAAAAGAGUUUGCGACCUCGAUGUUGGAUUAAAAUUUAUUACUGGCGCAGUAGCUGUAUAAUUGAGUCUGUUCGACUUUUGAAAUUUUACGUGAUCUGAGUUCAGACCGG